GAAUGCUGACAUAAGUAACGAUAAAGCGGGUGAAAAGCCCGCUCGCCGGAAGACCAAGGGUUCCUGUCCAACGUUAAUCGGGGCAGGGUGAGUCGACCCCUAAGGCGAGGCCGAAAGGCGUAGUCGAUGGGAAACGGGUUAAUAUUCCCGUACUUGGUGUUACUGCGAAGGGGGGACGGAGAAGGCUAUGUUGGCCGGGCGACGGUUGUCCCGGUUUAAGCGUGUAGGUGUGUGUUCCAGGUAAAUCCGGUUCACUUUAACACUGAGGCGUGAUGACGAGGCACUACGGUGCUGAAGCAACAAAUGCCCUGCUUCCAGGAAAAGCCUCUAAGCAUCAGGUAACAUCAAAUCGUACCCCAAACCGACACAGGUGGUCAGGUAGAGA
rnacentral:rRNA from 1 species